UACGGAGGGGGCUAGCGUUGUUCGGAAUUACUGGGCGUAAAGCGCACGUAGGCGGCUUUGUAAGUUAGAGGUGAAAGCCCAGGGCUUAACCCUGGAAUUGCCUUUAAGACUGCAUCGCUAGAAUCGUGGAGAGGUGAGUGGAAUUCCGAGUGUAGAGGUGAAAUUCAUAGAUAUUCGGAAGAACACCAGUGGCGAAGGCGACUCACUGGACACGUAUUGACGCUGAGGUGCGAAAGCGUGGGGAGCAAACAGG
rnacentral:rRNA from 1 species